UCCUCUGUGAUUCAUGGAAUGCCUGGAGUAAUUCAGAAAGUGAUGGCGGGGGAGGGGUCCCCACCCCGUCUCUGAAAUGCCUGCACCUUAGCGGACCUGGGCCAGGGAUCCAGAACUGGGUGGAGUCUGGUGCUGCCAGGCUGGAAACUGCCUAGAAGGACCCCCUGCCAGAGGGCGGCACCCCCCGUCAGAGCAGUGGACACGGCCUUGCGCACACGUGAGCUGAGGGCUUAGACAGCAAUUCUGCGAUCUGGGUUUUUAUUUAACUGGAAGACGAAUACACAGAUAACAGGUGAUGCUAGAGACAGUCACCUCUCCCAACCUUGAUGUGAUGUCGGUAUAGCAGGGGACAGCCUUGGGGUCUUCUCAGGGUCGCUGGGAGGACGAAGGAAUGUUCUGUGUCACCAGUCAGAGCCUUGAUGAAAAGCAGUCACUAUCAGUGACA